UACGGAGGAUCCGAGCGUUAUCCGGAUUUAUUGGGUUUAAAGGGAGCGUAGGCGGCCCCUUAAGUCAGUGGUGAAAGACGGUGGCUCAACCAUCGCAGUGCCGUUGAUACUGAGGGGCUUGAAUUCAAUUGAGGAAGGCGGAAUGUGGCAAGUAGCGGUGAAAUGCAUAGAUAUGCCACAGAACACCGAUAGCGAAGGCAGCUUUCCAAGCUGAGAUUGACGCUGAGGCUCGAAAGCGUGGGGAUCGAAC
rnacentral:rRNA from 1 species